AAUGAACGCUGGCGGCAGGCUUAACACAUGCAAGUCGAGCGGAGCGAGGGUGCUUGCACCUUAGCUUAGCGGCGGACGGGUGAGUAAUGCUUAGGAAUCUGCCUGUUAGUGGGGGACAACAUUCCGAAAGGAAUGCUAAUACCGCAUACGUCCUACGGGGGAAAGCAGGGGAUCUUCGGACCUUGCGCUAAUAGAUGAGCCUAAGUCGGAUUAGCUAGUUGGUGGGGUAAAGGCGUACCAAGGCGACGAUCUGUAGCGGGUCUGAGAGGAUGAUCCGCAACACUGGGACUGAGACACGGCCCAGACUCCUACGGGAGGCAGCAGUGGGGAAUAUUGGACAAUGGGCGGAAGCCUGAUCCAGCCAUGCCGCGUGUGUGAAGAAGGCCUUUUGGUUGUAAAGCACUUUAAGCGAGGAGGAGGCUACUAGUAUUAAUACUACUGGAUAGUGGACGUUACUCGCAGAAUAAGCACCGGCUAACUCUGUGCCAGCAGCCGCGGUAACAC
rnacentral:rRNA from 1 species